rnacentral:rRNA from 1 species
AAUCUGCGAACGGCUCCGUAUAUCUGUUAAAACCCGUUGCCCUCAUCAAAGGUUGGUAAGCGGAUAUUGCUCGGUAAUCCUGUCAGUAAUACGUGUACGUGCAACGCCCCCUGGGAGUAUAGCCCGACGGCAGUCUCCGACUGAAUGGGGGGAAUCUGGAGGCGACUCUCAUUGGAGCCGGCCGGAUUGUACCAGAGCUUUGGGCCUGAGGCGACGGUUUUCAGACCUAUCAACUAGAGGCCUGCGUAGUGAACAGGCCUGGUUUUGACGGGUACAGAGGAUCAGGGUUCGGUCCUGGAGAGGUAGCCUGAGAUAUCGCUACUACUUCUAAGGAAGGCAGCAGGCGCGCAACGUUCCCAAUGGGACUCCAUGUAGGCCCGAGGACGUGACGGAACAUACCUAUGCUCCGCCUUUAAGGCUGGGGUAAUCGGAAUGGGGGGAUUUUAAACCUCACAGCCGAGUAACAAUUAGAGGACAAGU